ACUGACCCUCAAAAUAAGCAAAACACGAGAAAAAAAAAAAAAGAAAAAGAAAAAAGAUUAAAAAGAUCUGCUAGGACUCCUUUGCUGGUGCUCUGUCUACACCCCUCUAACCGUCUAUCUACCUCCCUCCUUCUCAUUUUCUGUCCCCUACUUGGAUCCGUUUGUUGUCGAUUUCAGAAAUAUUAUUGAAAAUAAAAAUUAAGAGCCCGAGUCUGUUACGAAUGAGGCUUGAAAAUCUAAUUCUCUCCCACACUCAAAACGAGGAGAGCCUCUGCCUUUACUAGUCUCUAUUUUGUCUGCCCACAUUCAGUAGCACCACAUUCCCCAUCAGAGCCUAAGGAGGGGGGGGGGGCGAGGAAGAGAGGAAGAAAAAUAAAAGAAAAAAGAAAGAGAGAGAGAGAGAGAGAGAGAGAAAUCUCCUAACUUAAAGUAGCCAGAUUUCAGCCUUAAAGUUCUUUUUCCGAAUAGCGAAGUCUCUCCCCAACCAGCUUUUCUAAAAGUUAGAGAAAGCUGAGAAAACCGGCCGGGAAUCUACGACUAAAUAGCUGAAAAAUAUAUAUCAGUUGGGGUGUCAAGAAGCUCAAAUUCUCUAUCUGCAAAGCUCUAAGAUGCAUCUGGGGGUGUCGGCUCACCUCAUAGAUAUCUUCGUACUUGACAUUCUCCACGAGCUUCCAGAGCAUGAUGGCAGCCUGGUCUCUAGGAGAGUACGGAAGGAUUCCCACAGCCAGAAGGGAAAUCCAGUGGAGGAUCUCUGCCCCUGGGGCAGAAAAUAAAUGACAGGAGGGAAUGAAGAGGGACCGGGGCAAUUUGGGUGGAAGUUAUUAAACCUGAUAAGAGCGAA